rnacentral:rRNA from 1 species
AUUGAACGCUGGCGGCAUGCCUUACACAUGCAAGUCGAACGGCAGCGCGGACCUCGGUCUGGCGGCGAGUGGCGAACGGGUGAGUAACACAUCGGAACGUACCCUGUUGUGGGGGAUAACUAGUCGAAAGAUUAGCUAAUACCGCAUACGACCUGAGGGUGAAAGUGGGGGACCGCAAGGCCUCACGCAGCAGGAGCGGCCGAUGUCUGAUUAGCUAGUUGGUGGGGUAAAGGCCACCAAGGCGACGAUCAGUAGCUGGUCUGAGAGGACGAUCAGCCACACUGGGACUGAGACACGGCCCAGACUCCUACGGGAGGCAGCAGUGGGGAAUUUUGGACAAUGGGGGCAACCCUGAUCCAGCAAUGCCGCGUGUGUGAAGAAGGCCUUCGGGUUGUAAAGCACUUUUGUCCGGAAAGAAAUCGCGCUGGUUAAUACCUGGCGUGGAUGACGGUACCGGAAGAAUAAGCACCGGCUAACUACGUGCCAGCCGCCGCAGUAA